GAUGAACGCUAGCGGGAGGCCUAACACAUGCAAGCCGAGCGGUAUUUGUUCUUCGGAACUGAGAGAGCGGCGCACGGGUGCGGAACACGUGUGCAACCUGCCUUUAUCUGGGGAUAGCCUUUCGAAAGGAAGAUUAAUACCCCAUAAUAUAUUGAGUGGCAUCAUUUGAUAUUGAAAACUCCGGUGGAUAGAGAUGGGCACGCGCAGGAUUAGAUAGUUGGUGAGGUAACGGCUCACCAAGUCAAUGAUCUUUAGGGGGCCUGAGAGGGUGAUCCCCCACACUGGUACUGAGACACGGACCAGACUCCUACGGGAGGCAGCAGUGAGGAAUAUUGGACAAUGGGUUAGCGCCUGAUCCAGCCAUCCCGCGUGAAGGACGACGGCCCUAUGGGUUGUAAACUUCUUUUGUAUAGGGAUAAACCUACUCUCGUGAGAGUAGCUGAAGGUACUAUACGAAUAAGCACCGGCUAACUCCGUG
rnacentral:rRNA from 1 species